UGUUAAAAAUUUCUUCCAUUUCUACUAUUAAAAACUAGCGUGACUGACAGAAUAACCGUACAAUUAUUCAUUUCAUGGAGUGCCACGCAUGCCUCAUUUUGACAUACAAAGACCAAUUUUUAAUAGAAGAAGUGAAUAAUUUUUUUAACA
rfam:Gossypium arboreum cultivar AKA8401 contig_31267_3, whole genome shotgun sequence.